UGGCGACCGGCGCACGGGUGAGUAACACGUAUCCAACCUGCCGAUGACUCGGGGAUAGCCUUUCGAAAGAAAGAUUAAUACCCGAUGGCAUAGUUCUUCCGCAUGGUAGAACUAUUAAAGAAUUUCGGUCAUCGAUGGGGAUGCGUUCCAUUAGGUUGUUGGCGGGGUAACGGCCCACCAAGCCUUCGAUGGAUAGAGGUUCUGAGAGGAAGGUCCCCCACAUUGGAACUGAGACACGGUCCAAACUCCUACGGGAGGCAGCAUG
rnacentral:rRNA from 1 species